CCUUCGAUAGCUCUGUUGGUAGAGCGGGGGACUUGGGAUAUACAACUGUGAUCCCUAGAUCGCUGGUUCGAAUCCGGCUCGAAGGU
rnacentral:tRNA from 2 species